AGGGCUGAUAAGCCACUUAUGACCAGAACUCUACUACUCUGAAUAUUGACAUCUACUGUUCACCAACUUUUCUCUCUAACUUAAGCAUCGGAGGAUCUCCGUCAGACACAAAUUCGGUCAGUGCGGAUGUUGUCUUGCAGAUGUUCAUUCCCGAUGACAGACGACAGAGAGUUGGCCGCAACAGAUUGGCACACCAGGA
rnacentral:lncRNA from 1 species